AGUGGGGAAUCUUAGACAAUGGGCGCAAGCCUGAUCUAGCCAUGCCGCGUGAGUGACGAAGGCCUUAGGGUCGUAAAGCUCUUUCGCCAGAGAUGAUAAUGACAGUAUCUGGUAAAGAAACCCCGGCUAACUCCGUGCCAGCAGCCGCGGUAAUACGGAGGGGGUUAGCGUUGUUCGGAAUUACUGGGCGUAAAGCGCACGUAGGCGGAUUGGAAAGUUGGGGGUGAAAUCCCAGGGCUCAACCCUGGAACUGCCUCCAAAACUCCCAGUCUGGAGUUCGAGAGAGGUGAGUGGAAUUCCGAGUGUAGAGGUGAAAUUCGUAGAUAUUCGGAGGAACACCAGUGGCGAAGGCGGCUCACUGGCUCGAUACUGACGCUGAGGUGCGAAAGUGUGGGGAGCAAACAGGAUUAGAUACCCUGGUAGUCCACACCGUAAACGAUGAAUGCCAGUCGUCGGCAAGCAUGCUUGUCGGUGACACACCUAACGGAUUAAGCAUUCCGCCUGGGGAGUACGGUCGCAAGAUUA
rnacentral:rRNA from 1 species